rnacentral:rRNA from 1 species
GACGAACGCUGGCGGCGUGCCUAAUGCAUGCAAGUCGAACGCACUGCCUUCGGGCAGUGAGUGGCGCACGGCUGAGGAACACGUGGGAAUCUGCCCGACCGUGGGGGAUAACACGCCGAAAGGCGUGCUAAGCCCGCAUACGCUCGCAAGAGGAAAGCGGCAACGCGCGGUCGGAGGAGCCUGCGGCCCAUCAGGUAGUCGGCGGGGUAACGGCCCACCGAGCCGGUGACGGGUAGCUGGUCUGUGAGGACAGACAGCCAGACUGGGACUGAGACACGGCCCAGACUCCUACGGGAGGCAGCAGCAAGGAAUUUCGGCAAUGGGCGCAAGCCUGACCGAGCAACGCCGCGUGGAGGACGACGGCCU